UCCCUCUUAGCUCGGUUGGUAGAGCGCGUCACUAGUAAGUAACUCCUUCAUCGUCUUAUAACGAGGUCAGUCGUUCAAGUCGGCCAGAGGGAA
rnacentral:tRNA from 1 species